CCUACGGGAGGCAGCAGUGGGGAAUUUUGGACAAUGGGCGCAAGCCUGAUCCAGCAAUGCCGCGUGAGUGAAGAAGGCCUUCGGGUUGUAAAGCUCUUUUGUCAGGGAAGAAACGGCAGUUUCUAAUACAGAUUGCUAAUGACGGUACCUGAAGAAUAAGCACCGGCUAACUACGUGCCAGCAGCCGCGGUAAUACGUAGGGUGCAAGCGUUAAUCGGAAUUACUGGGCGUAAAGCGUGCGCAGGCGGUUUUGUAAGUUUGUCGUGAAAUCCCCGGGCUCAACCUGGGAAUGGCGAUGAAGACUGCAAGGCUAGAAUCUGGCAGAGGGGGGUAGAAUUCCACGUGUAGCAGUGAAAUGCGUAGAGAUGUGGAGGAACACCGAUGGCGAAGGCAGCCCCCUGGGUCAAGAUUGACGCUCAUGCACGAAAGCGUGGGGAGCAAACAGGAUUAGAUACCCUGGUAGUCCACGCCCUAAACGAUGUCUACUAGUUGUCGGGUUUUAAUUAACUUGGUAACGCAGCUAACGCGUGAAGUAGACCGCCUGGGGAGUACGGUCGCAAGAUUAAAACUUAAAUGAAUUGACGG
rnacentral:rRNA from 1 species